UACGUAGGUGGCAAGCGUUUGUCCGGAAUUAUUGGGCGUAAAGCGCGCGCAGGCGGUUCCUUAAGUCUGAUGUGAAAGCCCCCGGCUCAACCGGGGAGGGUCAUUGGAAACUGGGGAACUUGAGUGCAGAAGAGAAGAGCGGAAUUCCACGUGUAGCGGUGAAAUGCGUAGAGAUGUGGAGGAACACCAGUGGCGAAGGCGGCUCUUUGGUCUGUAACUGACGCUGAGGCGCGAAAGCGUGGGGAGCAAACAGG
rnacentral:rRNA from 1 species